rnacentral:rRNA from 1 species
UACGAAGGGGGCUAGCGUUGCUCGGAAUCAUUGGGCGUAAAGCGCGCGUAGGCGGCCAGAUAAGUCCGGUGUGAAAGUCACAGGCUCAACCUGUGAAUGCCGCUGGAAACUGUCUGGCUAGAGUCCGGAAGGGGCGAGUGGAAUUCCUGGUGUAGCGGUGAAAUGCGCAGAUAUCAGGAAGAACACCCGUGGCGAAAGCGGCUCUCUGGAACGGUACUGACGCUGAGACGCGAAAGCGUGGGGAGCGAACAGG